rnacentral:rRNA from 1 species
UACAGAGACUGCAAGCGUUAUUCGGAUUCAUUGGGCGUAAAGGGUGCGUAGGCGGCGCGGUAAGUCGGGUGUGAAAUCUCGGAGCUUAACUCCGAAACUGCAUUCGAUACUGCCGUGCUUGAGGACUGGAGAGGAGACUGGAAUUUACGGUGUAGCGGUGAAAUGCGUAGAUAUCGGGAGGAACACCAAUGGCGAAGGCAGCUCGCUGGGACGUUACUGACGCUGAGACGCGAAAGCGUGGGGAGCAAACAGG